UACUAAACCCAUCUGAUAAUUUUGAGAGCAACAAAAAGUUAUCGAAUAUGCGAGAGCUGGUUAGAAUUACAGUUUGGAUCUUAUUACUCUGUGGGUCAGUUUCAUUUUCUUUUCAAGAAGAAACCCAGUUCAAAAUAGAUGGCAAAGCAAUAGAGCUGGAGGAAUCAAACUUUGAAUCAGCAAUCUCAGCCUUUGACUUGAUCUUAAUCGAUUUUUACGUUACCUGGUGCGGCCACUGCAAGCGCCUCGCUCCUCAGGAACCUGGAUGGUCAACACACAAAAGAAACAACUAUGUUAUGCAGCCAUCAGAAUGGUCGCAUUUUAACAUCAGGAGGCCUUGUUGAAUCCAUUAUCAAUCAUGGUCUGGAUUGCUUCUAGUACUACAUGAGAAAGAAGUGGAAGAGUACAGUCCAAGUAGAAAUGAUAUCAAUCCAAGUGCAAAUGAAUCUAGUAGGUUUCCUUCUGAUUUGAAUGAAUUCCCUCAAGCUUUUUUUUGGAUCAACAAUGGAUGUGAUUGCCAGUUUGCCACAACUACGCAGAUCCCUGUUGACAAUGAUGGAGCAGAAUCUAGUGGAAGUGAUUACUUUGAUGAAGAUGAAACCUAGUGAAAGUGACUGCUUUGAUGCAGAUGAAUUUGAACCUAGCUACUGAAAGUGAUCUACUUUUAAAAAUGAUGAAGAUGAACGACUUCCUAAAGAAUUGAAAUUCUUUUGAAGGGAAAAGCCUAUAUCUUGUAGUUUCAUUUUAUAUAUAUACUGGUAAGUCCAUGUCUCAAUUUCUAACAGAAAUCUACCUUAUUUUACUCUCAAUUUCUAUGAAUAAGUGCAGAAGCUGAAUGGCACUUUCUGGUAGGAAAAAUAAUAUGUACCAAUAUAAGGAUAUGCUGCUUGGAUUCAUGAAACAUUAUUUUGGGAACAACAAAACUAUAAUCCUGAGUGGUUGUUUGUUAGCUUAUAUUUACUGACUGGAGCUUUUGGAGACACCGUUCAAUGGCUAAAGUUGGGGAGUUAAAACUGGCUAAAGUUGGGGAGUUAAAAGCUGCAAAGCUCUAGAGUCCUUGAGUUUUCCCAGGUUUUACUAUCUGACAAACUUUAGUGUAGAACCCAGUAUCUUGUACUCUUAAAUAAAUGUAGCUGAUUUCUUAAAUCAAUGUUUUAGAGAGCCUGGAUGGCCUAACUUUGGUAUCAGCUGGGGUGGACUGAUGAGACCCUUGGCUUCUGGGAGAAU